GAUGAACGCUGGCGGCGUGCCUAAUACAUGCAAGUCGAGCGAACAGACGAGGAGCUUGCUCCUCUGACGUUAGCGGCGGACGGGUGAGAAACACGUGGAUAACCUACCUAUAAGACUGGGAUAACUUCGGGAAACCGGAGCUAAUACCGGAUAAUAUAUUGAACCGCAUGGUUCAAUAGUGAAAGACGGUUUUGCUGUCACUUAUAGAUGGAUCCGCGCCGCAUUAGCUAGUUGGUAAGGUAACGGCUUACCAAGGCAACGAUGCGUAGCCGACCUGAGAGGGUGAUCGGCCACACUGGAACUGAGACACGGUCCAGACUCCUACGGGAGGCAGCAGUAGGGAAUCUUCCGCAAUGGGCGAAAGCCUGACGGAGCAACGCCGCGUGAGUGAUGAAGGUCUUCGGAUCGUAAAACUCUGUUAUUAGGGAAGAACAACUGUGUAAGUAAAUAGGCACGUCUUGACGGUACCUAAGCAGAAAGCUACGGCUAACUACGUG
rnacentral:rRNA from 1 species